CCUACGGGUGGCAGCAGUGAGGAAUAUUGGUCAAUGGACGAGAGUCUGAACCAGCCAAGUAGCGUGAAGGAUGACUGCCCUAUGGGUUGUAAACUUCUUUUAUAUGGGAAUAAAAUGUUCCACGUGUGGGAUUUUGUAUGUACCAUAUGAAUAAGGAUCGGCUAACUCCGUGCCAGCAGCCGCGGUAAUACGGAGGAUCCGAGCGUUAUCCGGAUUUAUUGGGUUUAAAGGGUGCGUAGGUGGAUUGUUAAGUCAGUUGUGAAAGUUUGCGGCUCAACCGUAAAAUUGCAGUUGAAACUGGCAGUCUUGAGUAGAGUAGAGGUGGGCGGAAUUCGUGGUGUAGCGGUGAAAUGCUUAGAUAUCGCGAAGAACUCCGAUUGCGAAGGCAGUUCACUGGACUGCAACUGACACUGAGGCUCGAAAGUGUGGGUAUCAAACAGGAUUAGAUACCCGGGUAGUC
rnacentral:rRNA from 1 species